rnacentral:misc_RNA from 1 species
UAACAAAUAAUUUAAUACAACAAACGUUUGGUCCAAAACAUAGAGAAAAAGAUAAAUAUAGUGAAUCAUCAUCUAAUUUGGUAAUUGGUAUUGAGGCUUAGUACAACUGAGUCAUUAUUACUUGUUUAAAAACUUCGGCAGUAUGAUAUAUUCUUUCAUGCAUUACAGUCUAAGUUCCGAGUUAAGUGACAAUGAAGGAAAUAAAAAUAGGCUAGGGGAAAAAGUGAGGUAUUCAAUGUUACUACUAAGGGAUAAAAGAUUUGAAAAAUAAAAAAUUAAAAGAAA